GGGGCCAUAGCUCAGCUGGGAGAGCGCCUGCUUUGCACGCAGGAGGUCAGGAGUUCGAUCCUCCUUGGCUCCA
rnacentral:ncRNA from 14 species